rfam:Xenopus laevis strain J chromosome 4S, whole genome shotgun sequence.
GUGCCCUGUGAUUACUAAAAGACGCGUUAUUACGAGGACAAAUGCUGGCUGCUCACCCCCUCCCUCUCUACCUCCACACCCCAUUCUGCCCCAAUUGUUCCCUUCUAUUGCUUUACUCUUCCGCCCCCCUUGCCCCUUUUCUGAGUAACCAGUGUCCGCUGAGCACGAUUAUGAGAUCUGAGGGCUU